AACGAACGCUGGCGGCAUGCCUAAUACAUGCAAGUCGAACGAGAUCUUCGGAUCUAGUGGCGCACGGGUGCGUAACGCGUGGGAAUCUACCCUUGGGUUCGGAAUAACAGUUAGAAAUGACUGCUAAUACCGGAUGAUGACGUAAGUCCAAAGAUUUAUCGCCCAAGGAUGAGCCCGCGUAGGAUUAGCUUGUUGGUGAGGUAAAAGCUCACCAAGGCGACGAUCCUUAGCUGGUCUGAGAGGAUGAUCAGCCACACUGGGACUGAGACACGGCCCAGACGCCUACGGGAGGAAGCAGUAGGGAAUAUUGGACAAUGGGCGAAAGCCUGAUCCAGCAAUGCCGCGUGAGUGAUGAAGGCCUUAGGGUUGUAAAGCUCUUUUACCCGAGAUGAUAAUGACAGUAUCGGGAGAAUAAGCUCCGGCUAACUCCGUGCCAGCAGCCGCCGUAACAC
rnacentral:rRNA from 1 species